GAUGAACGCUGGCGGCGUGCCUAAUACAUGCAAGUCGAGCGAACAGAUGAGGAGCUUGCUCCUCUGACGUUAGCGGCGGACGGGUGAGUAACACGUGGAUAACCUACUAUAAGACUGGGAUAACUUCGGGAAACCGGAGCUAAUACCGGAUAAUAUAUUGAACCGCAUGGUUCAAUAGUGAAAGACGGUUUUGCUGUCACUUAUAGAUGGAUCCGCGCCGCAUUAGCUAGUUGGUAAGGUAACGGCUUACCAAGGCGACGAUGCGUAGCCGACCUGAGAGGGUGAUCGGCCACACUGGAACUGAGACACGGUCCAGACUCCUACGGGAGGCAGCAGUAGGGAAUCUUCCGCAAUGGGCGAAAGCCUGACGGAGCAACGCCGCGUGAGUGAUGAAGGUCUUCGGAUCGUAAAACUCUGUUAUUAGGGAAGAACAAAUGUGUAAGUAACUAUGCACGUCUUGACGGUACCUAAUCAGAAAGCCACGGCUAACUACGUG
rnacentral:rRNA from 1 species